rnacentral:snoRNA from 1 species
AGACCAUGAUGACGGCACUUUCUUAGUAGCUCCUUGAACCUUUCCUAAGUUUCAUACAAGGAUUCCCCGUCCUCUUGUAAUGUUUUAAUUUUACUUUUGGGCU